rnacentral:piRNA from 1 species
GGUAGAAAUCUCUGUGGAUAAAAUGC